GAAUAUUGGACAAUGGGCGAAAGCCUGAUCCAGCCAUGCCGCGUGUGUGAUGAAGGCCUUAGGGUUGUAAAGCACUUUCAAUGGUGAAGAUAAUGACGGUAACCAUAGAAGAAGCCCCGGCUAACUUCGUGCCAGCCGCCGCGGUAAUACGAAGGGGGCUAGCGUUGUUCGGAAUUACUGGGCGUAAAGCGCACGUAGGCGGAUUGAUCAGUUAGAGGUGAAAUCCCAGGGCUCAACCCUGGAACUGCCUUUAAUACUGUCAGUCUAGAGAUCGAGAGAGGUGAGUGGAAUUCCGAGUGUAGAGGUGAAAUUCGUAGAUAUUCGGAGGAACACCAGUGGCGAAGGCGGCUCACUGGCUCGAUACUGACGCUGAGGUGCGAAAGCGUGGGGAGCAAACAGG
rnacentral:rRNA from 1 species